rnacentral:rRNA from 1 species
CUUGCUCCCGGAUGUUAGCGGCGGACGGGUGAGUAACACGUGGGUAACCUGCCUGUAAGACUGGGAUAACUCCGGGAAACCGGAGCUAAUACCGGAUAGUUCCUUGAACCGCAUGGUUCAAGGAUGAAAGACGGUUUCGGCUGUCACUUACAGAUGGACCCGCGGCGCAUUAGCUAGUUGGUGGGGUAAUGGCUCACCAAGGCGACGAUGCGUAGCCGACCUGAGAGGGUGAUCGGCCACACUGGGACUGAGACACGGCCCAGACUCCUACGGGAGGCAGCAGUAGGGAAUCUUCCGCAAUGGACGAAAGUCUGACGGAGCAACGCCGCGUGAGUGAUGAAGGUUUUCGGAUCGUAAAGCUCUGUUGUUAGGGAAGAACAAGUGCGAGAGUAACUGCUCGCACCUUGACGGUACCUAACCAGAAAGCCACGGCUAACUACGUGCCAGCAGCCGCGGUAAUACGUAGGUGGCAAGCGUUGUCCGGAAUUAUUGGGCGUAAAGGGCUCGCAGGCGGUUUCUUAA